UCCCUGGUGGUCCAGUGGUUAGGACUUAGUGCUUUCUCUGUUAUGGGCCCAGGUUCAAUCCCUGGUCAGGGAA